AUUGAACUCUGGCGGCAGGCCUAACACAUGCAAGUCGAACGAGUGGCGGAAGGGUGAGUAAUGUCUGGGAAACUGCCCGAUGGAUGGGGAUAACUACUGGAAACGGUAGCUAAUACCGCAUACCAUCGGAUGUGCCCAGAUGGGAUUAGCUAGUAGGUGGGGUAAUGGCUCACCUAGUCCACGAUCCCUAGCUGGUCGGCGAGGAUGACCAGCCACACUGGAACGGAGACACGGUCCAGACUCCUACGGGAGGCAGCAGCGGGGAAUAUUGAACAAUGGGCGCAAGCCUGAUGCAGCCAUGCCGCGUGUAUGAAGAAGGCCUUCGGGUUGUAAAGUACUUUCAGCGGGGAGGCGUUACCCGCAGAAGAAGCACCGGCUAACUCCGUGCCAGAAGCCGCGGUAAUAC
rnacentral:rRNA from 1 species